GCGCGCUUAGCUCAGUGGUAGAGCACAUCGUUCACACCGAUGGGGUCGUUGGUUCGAAUCCAGCAGUGCGCACCA
rnacentral:tRNA from 1 species